GACGAACGCUGGCGGCGUGCCUAAUACAUGCAAGUAGAACGCUGAAGCGAGGAGCUUGCUCUUCUUGGAUGAGUUGCGAACGGGUGAGUAACGCGUAGGUAACCUGCCUUGUAGCGGGGGAUAACUAUUGGAAACGAUAGCUAAUACCGCAUAACAAUGGAUGACACAUGUCAUUUAUUUGAAAGGGGCAAUUGCUCCACUACAAGAUGGACCUGCGUUGUAUUAGCUAGUAGGUGAGGUAAUGGCUCACCUAGGCGACGAUACAUAGCCGACCUGAGAGGGUGAUCGGCCGCACUGGGACUGAGACACGGCCCAGACUCCUACGGGAGGCAGCAGUAGGGAAUCUUCGGCAAUGGGGGCAACCCUGACCGAGCAACGCCGCGUGAGUGAAGAAGGUUUUCGGAUCGUAAAGCUCUGUUGUAAGUCAAGAACGGGUGUGAGAGUGGAAAGUUCACACUGUGACGGUAGCUUACCAGAAAGGGACGGCUAACUACGUG
rnacentral:rRNA from 1 species